GACGAACGCUGGCGGCGUGCUUAACACAUGCAAGUCGAACGGAAAGGCCCUGCUUUUGUGGGGUGCUCGAGUGGCGAACGGGUGAGUAACACGUGAGUAACCUGCCCUUGACUUUGGGAUAACUUCAGGAAACUGGGGCUAAUACCGGAUAGGAGCUCCUGCUGCAUGGUGGGGGUUGGAAAGUUUCGGCGGUUGGGGAUGGACUCGCGGCUUAUCAGCUUGUUGGUGGGGUAGUGGCUUACCAAGGCUUUGACGGGUAGCCGGCCUGAGAGGGUGACCGGCCACAUUGGGACUGAGAUACGGCCCAGACUCCUACGGGAGGCAGCAGUGGGGAAUAUUGCACAAUGGGCGGAAGCCUGAUGCAGCAACGCCGCGUGCGGGAUGACGGCCUUUGGGUUGUAAACCGCUUUCGCCUGUGACGAAGCGUGAGUGACGGUAAUGGGCAAAGAAGCACCGGCUAACUACGUG
rnacentral:rRNA from 1 species